AUUGAACGCUGGCGGCAUGCCUUACACAUGCAAGUCGAACGGUAACAGGUCUUCGGACGCUGACGAGUGGCGAACGGGUGAGUAAUACAUCGGAACGUGCCCAGUCGUGGGGGAUAACUACUCGAAAGAGUAGCUAAUACCGCAUACGAUCUGAGGAUGAAAGCGGGGGACCUUCGGGCCUCGCGCGAUUGGAGCGGCCGAUGGCAGAUUAGGUAGUUGGUGGGAUAAAAAGCUUACCAAGCCGACGAUCUGUAGCUGGGUCUGAGAGGACGACCAGCCACACUGGGACUGCGACACGGCCCAGACUCCUACGAGAGGCAGCAGUGGGGAAUCUUGGACAAUGGGGGCAACCCUGAUCCAGCCAUGCCGCGUGAGUGACGAAGGCCUUAGGGUUGUAAAACUCUUUCAGCGGGGACGAUAAUGACGGUACCCGCAGAAGAAGCCCGGCUAACUCCGUGCCAGCAGCAGCCGCGGUAAU
rnacentral:rRNA from 1 species